rnacentral:lncRNA from 1 species
GUAACAUUACUAGCAGUAACAUUACUAGCAGUAACAUUACUAACAGUAACAUUACUAGCAGUAAUAUUGCUAAAAGUGACAUUACUAACAAUGGCAACAGUGAUAUCUUCGGAAAAAACACGAUGUAUGAAUUACUACCCCUACAAAUAGAUACAACAAAUAAAAACAUAAACACGAACAACGAUAGUAAAAAUAAUAAUGGUGUAUAUAUUAAACGUAAGGCAAAAAAAAUAGCACAAAAAAAACUUUUUUAUAAUGCUGAGCUUGUUUAUCGUAAAAUCUUUUUUUGUGCAUAUAGAAAAAUAUUAGAAGAGAUUUUUUACACUGUUAAAAAAAUGAAUAGUAUAAAAAGUUCAUCACUUUUAAAAAAAAAAAAUUUGUCAUUAUUUACCAUCAUUCAUGCUAAUUUAAUAUAUUGUAAAUAUAAAAUCACAAAAGAAAACAUAAAACAACAUAAUAAAUUAAAUAAUGCACCAACAGAGGUAAAUGACACAGAAUAUGCGCAGGAUUAUGCAAAGGACGAACAUGGUACAGAUGUGUCAAACAGCCAAAACAAAUGUUUACAAAAUAAUACCAAUAACAACAACAUAAGAAGUAGUUGUCUUAUAGAUGCACACGAUGAACAGAAAUUAUUAAUAGAAAGAAAUUAUAUAAAUACAGAAGUCGUCCAAAAAUGUGAUAACACAAAAUACGAAAGUACCAAUAUAUCUUCAAACGAAUGUGAUGAAGAAAAAAAAAAAACAAUUAUAGAUAAAACUAAAAAAAUAAAAAAAAUGAAAAAAAUAAAUGAAGAACAUACGAAUAGUAGUGGAGCAAAUGAAAAAGAAAGCAACAGUAGGAAUAAACAAAUACAGGAUACAAAUCAUGAAGAAAUGACUAACUUAGAGGUUAUUGAUACAUGUUCAGAGGUAGAACAUAACCAUAAAAAUUGUUUAUCAAAUGGCUUACCAAAUAACUUAUCAAAUGGCUUAUCAGAUAACUUAUCAGAUAACUUAUCAGAUAACUUAUCAAAUAACUUACCAAAUAACUUACCAAAUAACUUACCAACAGAUUUACCAACUGAUUUAUCAACUGAUUUACCAACUGAUUUACCAAAUGGUUUACAAAAUAUCCCACAAAAUGAUGCCACUCGAAAUACAUUAAAAAUGCAAGAUUAUUCAAACACAAACAAACAGGUUAAACAUGAUAUACAAGUUACUACUACAUUAGAUACUAUGGAAGAUGCUACUCCUAUUAUUACUAACACUACUACGACCCAAAAAAGAGAAACAAAAAGUCUUUAUACAAAAACAUCAAACGAUGAAUAUGGUAAUAUAUUUUUAAAAAAAUUACUAAGUUUCAAUCAAAUAAACUCUUUUGUACUUAAACAAAAAGAAAAUAAUUAUAAUUUGGAUAAAAAAAAUGGUAUAUACACUUUUAAUAGUGAUACUGAUUGUGUAGAUAGUAAAGAAGAAAAAGUUGAUACGU